GAAUGAGUAUUUGGUCGUAGACCCGAAACCAGGUGAUCUACCCUUGGUCAGGUUGAAGUUCAGGUAACACUGAAUGGAGGACCGAACCGACUUACGUUGAAAAGUGAGCGGAUGAACUGAGGGUAGCGGAGAAAUUCCAAUCGAACUUGGAGAUAGCUGGUUCUCUCCGAAAUAGCUUUAGGGCUAGCCUCAAGUGAUGAUUAUUGGAGGUAGAGCACUGUUUGGACGAGGGGCCCCUCUCGGGUUACCGAAUUCAGACAAACUCCGAAUGCCAAAUAAUUUAACUUGGGAGUCAGAAUGUGGGUGAUAAGGUCCAUAUUCGAAAGGGAAACAGCCCAGACCACCAGCUAAGGUCCCAAAAUAUAUGUUAAGUGGAAAAGGAUGUGGCGUUGCCCAGACAACUAGGAUGUUGGCUUAGAAGCAGCCAUCAUUUAAAGAGUGCGUAAUAGCUCACUAGUCGAGUGACACUGCGCCGAAAAUGUACCGGGGCUAAACAUAUUACCGAAGCUGUGGAUUGUCCUUUGGACAAUGGUAGGAGAGCGUUCUAAGGGCGUUGAAGCAUGAUCGCAAGGACAUGUGGAGCGCUUAGAAGUGAGAAUGCCGGUGUGAGUAGCGAAAGACGGGUGAGAAUCCCGUCCACCGAUUGACUAAGGUUUCCAGAGGAAGGCUCGUCCGCUCUGGGUUAGUCGGGUCCUAAGCUGAGGCCGACAGGCGUAGGCGAUGGAUAACAGGUUGAUAUUCCUGUACCACCAUUAUUCGUUUUAAGCGAUGGGGGGACGCAGUAGGAUAGGCGAAGCGUGCUGUUGGAGUGCACGUCCAAGCAGUGAGAUUGAGUGUUAGGCAAAUCCGGCACUCUUAAGAUUGAGCUGUGAUGGGGAGAGGAACUUGUUCCUCGAGUCGUUGAUUUCACACUGCCGAGAAAAGCCUCUAGCUAGAAUAACGGUGCCCGUACCGCAAACCGACACAGGUAGUCAAGAUGAGAAUUCUAAGGUGAGCGAGCGAACUCUCGUUAAGGAACUCGGCAAAAUGACCCCGUAACUUCGGGAGAAGGGGUGCUCUUUGAGGUUCACGCUUCGAAGAGCCGCAGUGAAUAGGCCCAAGCGACUGUUUAUCAAAAACACAGGUCUCUGCUAAACCGUAAGGUGACGUAUAGGGGCUGACGCCUGCCCGGUGCUGGAAGGUUAAGAGGAGUGGUUAGCGCAAGCGAAGCUACGAAUCGAAGCCCCAGUAAACGGCGGCCGUAACUAUAACGGUCCUAAGGUAGCGAAAUUCCUUGUCGGGUAAGUUCCGACCCGCACGAAAGGCGUAACGAUUUGGGCACUGUCUCAACGAGAGACUCGGUGAAAUCAUAGUACCGGUGAAGAUGCCGGUUACCCGCGACAGGACGGAAAGACCCCGUGGAGCUUUACUGUAGCCUGAUAUUGAAAUUCGGUACAGUUUGUACAGGAUAGGUA
rnacentral:rRNA from 1 species